rnacentral:rRNA from 1 species
CAGUAGCCGCGGUAAUACGAAGGGUGCAAGCGUUACUCGGAAUUACUGGGCGUAAAGCGUGCGUAGGUGGUGGUUUAAGUCCGUUGUGAAAGCCCUGGGCUCAACCUGGGAAUUGCAGUGGAUACUGGGUCACUAGAGUGUGGUAGAGGAUAGUGGAAUUUCCGGUGUAGCAGUGAAAUGCGUAGAGAUCGGGAGGAACAUCUGUGGCGAAGGCGACUAUCUGGGCCAACACUGACACUGAGGCACGAAAGCGUGGGGAGCAAACAGGAUUAGAUACCCGCGUAGUCCCUGUCUCUUAUAC